rnacentral:rRNA from 1 species
UACGUAGGGUGCGAGCGUUAAUCGGAAUUACUGGGCGUAAAGCGUGCGCAGGCGGUUCGUUGUGUCGGCGGUGAAAGCCCCGGGCUUAACCUGGGAAUGGCCGUUGAAACUGGCGAACUGGAGUGUGGCAGAGGGGGGGUGGAAUUCCCGGUGUAGCGGUGAAAUGCGUAGAGAUCGGGAGGAACAUCAGUGGCGAAGGCGGCCAUCUGGGGACAACACUGACGCUGAGGCACGAAAGCGUGGGGAGCAAACAGG